rnacentral:rRNA from 1 species
GCGAACGCUAGCGGCAGGCCUAACACAUGCAAGUCGAACGGCUCUUCGGAGCAGUGGCGGACGGGUGAGUAACACGUGGGAACGUGCCCUUUGGUACGGAACAACUGAGGGAAACUUCAGCUAAUACCGUAUGUGCCCUUCGGGGGAAAGAUUUAUCGCCAUUGGAGCGGCCCGCGUUGGAUUAGGUAGUUGGUGGGGUAAUGGCCCACCAAGCCUACGAUCCAUAGCUGGUCUGAGAGGAUGAUCAGCCACACUGGGACUGAGACACGGCCCAGACUCCUACGGGGGGCAGCAGUGGGGAAUCUUGCGCAAUGGGCGAAAGCCUGACGCAGCCAUGCCGCGUGUAUGAUGAAGGUCUUAGGAUUGUAAAAUACUUUCACCGGGGAAGAUAAUGACGGUACCCGGAGAAGAAGCCCCGGCUAACUUCGU